rnacentral:rRNA from 1 species
UGCCAGCAGCCGCGGUAAUACGUAGGGGGCAAGCGUUGUCCGGAUUUACUGGGUGUAAAGGGCGCGCAGGCGGAUUUGUCAGUCAGGGGUGAAAUCCUACAGCUUAACUGUAGAACUGCCUUUGAUACUGCAAAUCUUGAGUUCGGAAGGGAGAGGCGGAAUUCCAGGUGUAGUGGUGAAAUACGUAGAUAUCUGGAAGAACACCCGUGGCGAAGGCGGCUAGCUGGGCCGAAACUGACGCUGAGGCGCGAAAGCGUGGGGAGCGAACAGGAUUAGAUA